AUUAUCUCCACUGCUUGUCAAGCCAACAAGACUAAUGCAGGCAGGGAGGAUGAAAAUCAAAACAACUAAAACUCUAAAGGCUGCAGUCUCAUCACCCUUUAAUCCAUAUACAGCACUUUGGAGAAAACAGUUCAAUCCACAGCAUGGGAGUAGACUCAAGAGAGCUUCCUGAGGCCAAAGAUGCUUUUUGGCUUUUCCCAGACCUAGGUCCCACUUUCAGAACUACAGUGAGUAUGGAUUUACAGAACUAAGCCAAAUUCUAAGAAAGCAAAAUGCUGUACCAGUGGAAGGUCACCUCCUGCUGCUGUUACCGUGAUCCACCACCAAAGAGACUGAACGCUAGAAGACAGGAAAAAUCCAAAAUAGGACACGCAAUGAAGACAAAACAUCGACCAAGAAACAAAUCCAUUCCCAUUUCACGACAGCGCAGCGACCCCCUGCCCCGGCAUCACGCUACUUCAUGCAGAAAUGGCAAAAGUGAAAACAACAGCUGUGCACUCUGUCUCUGACAGCCCUGGGCUCGAGUUCCUUUCAGAAAAGCAUAUUAGUAUUAAUAAAGUUCAACUGAGUGUUCA
rnacentral:lncRNA from 1 species